UACGUAGGGGGCGAGCGUUGUCCGGAUUUAUUGGGCGUAAAGAGCGUGUAGGCGGUUCGGUAAGUCUGUCGUGAAAUCCUGAGGCUCAACCUUGGACGUGCGAUGGAUACUGCCGGGCUAGAGGUAGGUAGGGGAGAAUGGAAUUCCCGGUGUAGCGGUGAAAUGCGCAGAUAUCGGGAGGAACACCGGUGGCGAAGGCGGUUCUCUGGGCCUUACCUGACGCUGAGGAGCGAAAGCGUGGGGAGCGAACAGG
rnacentral:rRNA from 1 species